GUCGAACGAGAAAGUGGAGCAAUCCAUGAGUAAAGUGGCGCACGGGUGAGUAACACGUGACUAACCUACCCUUGAGUGGGGAAUAACUUCGGGAAACCGAGGCUAAUACCGCAUAACACCUACGGGUCAAAGGAGCAAUUCGCUUAAGGAGGGGGUCGCGGCAGAUUAGUUAGUUGGCGGGGUAAUGGCCCACCAAGACAGUGAUCUGUAUCCGGCCUGAGAGGGCGCACGGACACACUGGAACUGAAACACGGUCCAGACUCCUACGGGAGGCAGCAGUGGGGAAUUUUGCGCAAUGGGGGAAACCCUGACGCAGCAACGCCGCGUGGAGGAUGAAGUCUCUUGGGACGUAAACUCCUUUCGAUCGGGACGAUAAUGACGGUACCGGAAGAAGAAGCCCCGGCUAACUUUGUGCCAGCAGCCGCGGUAAUACGAGGGGGGCGAGCGUUGUUCGGAAUUAUUGGGCGUAAAGGGUGCGUAGGCGGUUCGGUAAGUCUUGUGUGAAAUCUUCGGGCUCAACUCGAAGUCUGCACGAGAAACUGCCGGGCUUGAGUGUGGGAGAGGUGAGUGGAAUUUCCGGUGUAGCGGUGAAAUGCGUAGAUAUCGGAAGGAACACCUGUGGCGAAAGCGGCUCACUGGACCACAACUGACGCUGAGGCACGAAAGCUAGGGGAGCAAACAGGAUUAGAUACCCUGGUAGUCCUAGCCCUAAACGAUGAUCGCUUGGUGUGAC
rnacentral:rRNA from 1 species